rnacentral:rRNA from 1 species
UACAGAGGUCCCAAGCGUUGUUCGGAUUCACUGGGCGUAAAGGGUGCGUAGGUGGUGAGGUAAGUCGGAUGUGAAAUCUCCGGGCUCAACCCGGAAAUGGCAUUGGAAACUACCUUGCUAGAGGAUUUGAGGGGGGAUUGGAAUACUUGGUGUAGCAGUGAAAUGCGUAGAUAUCGGGAGGAACACCAGUGGCGAAGGCGACUACCUGGCCUGUUCUUGACGCUGAGGCGCGAAAGCUAGGGGAGCAAACGGG